AGAGUUUGAUCAUGGCUCAGGAUGAACGCUAGCGGCAGGCCUAAUACAUGCAAGUCGAACGAUACCAGGGAGCUUGCUCUCUGGGAAAGUGGCGCACGGGUGCGUAACGCGUAUGCAACCUACCUUAAUCUGGGGGAUAGCCUCUCGAAAGAGAGAUUAACACCGCAUAACAUCAACAAAUGGCAUCAUUCAAUGAUCAAAUAUUUAUAGGAUAAAGAUGGGCAUGCGUGACAUUAGCUAGUUGGUGAGGUAACGGCUCACCAAGGCGACGAUGUCUAGGGGAUCUGAGAGGAUGACCCCCCACACUGGUACUGAGACACGGACCAGACUCCUACGGGAGGCAGCAGUAAGGAAUAUUGGUCAGUGGAGGCAACUCUGAACCAGCCAUGCCGCGUGCAGGAAGACGGCCCUAUGGGUUGUAAACUGCUUUUAUUCGGGAAUAAACCUUUGCUCGUGAGCAGAGUUGAAUGUACCGAAAGAAUAAGGAUCGGCUAACUCCGUGCCAGCAGCCGCGGUAAUACGGAGGAUCCAAGCGUUAUCCGGAUUUAUUGGGUUUAAAGGGUGCGUAGGCGGCCUAUUAAGUCAGGGGUGAAAGACGGUGGCUCAACCAUCGCAGUGCCCUUGAUACUGAUGGGCUUGAAUACACUUGAGGUAGGCGGAAUGUGACAAGUAGCGGUGAAAUGCAUAGAUAUGUCACAGAACACCAAUUGCGAAGGCAGCUUACUAAGGUGCAAUUGACGCUGAGGCACGAAAGCGUGGGGAUCAAACAGGAUUAGAUACCCUGGUAGUCCACGCCCUAAACGAUGAAUACUCGAUGUUAGCGAUAUACAGUUAGCGUCUAAGCGAAAGCGUUAAGUAUUCCACCUGGGGAGUACGCCCGCAAGGGUGAACUCAAAGGAAUUGACGGGGGCCCGCACAAGCGGAGGAGCGUGUGGUUUAAUUCGAUGAUACGCGAGGAACCUUA
rnacentral:rRNA from 1 species